GGGAGAGAGAGGAGAGUCCAGAGAGGGAAGAGAGAGAGAGAAGUCCAGAGGAGGGAAGAGCGAGAGGAGAGUCCAGAGGAGGGAAGAGAGAGAGGAAAGUCCAGAGAGGGAAGAGAGAGAGGAGAGUCCAGAGGAGGGAAGAGAGAGAGGAGAGUCCAGAGGAGGGAAGAGAGAGAGGAAAGUCCAGAGAGGGAAGAGAGAGAGGAGAGUCCAGAGAGAGAGGAGAGUCCAGAGGAGGGAAGAGAGAGAGGAGAGUCCAGAGAGGGAAGAGAAAGAAGAGAGUCCAGGGAGGGAUGAGAGAGAGGAGAGUCCAGAGGAGGGAUGAGAGAGAGGAGAGUCCAGAGGAGGGAUGAGAGAGAGGAGAGUCCAGAGAGGGAAGAGAAAGGAGAUCCAGAGGAGGGAUGAGAGAGAGGAGAGUCCAGAGGAGGGAUGAGAGAGAGGAGAGUCCAGAGAGGGAAGAGAGAGGAGAGUCCAGAGAGGGAAGAGAGAGAGGAGAGUCCAGAGAGGGGAGAGAGAGAGGAGAGUCCAGAGAGGGAAGAGAGAGAGGAGAGUCCAGAGAGGGAAGAGAGAGAGGAGAGUCCAGAGAGGGAAGAGAGAGAGGAGAG
ensembl:lncRNA